GAGACAACCUGAGGUCAGGUUUGCCAGAGACAACAGGCUGCUGAAUGCACACUGCCACUCCUCAUGUGGCUCCUGCCUGUCCUGGUGGGAGGGUGGGUGUCCUCACAACCCCUGGGCUGGGGGACUGAGGCUUUCUUGUCUGUGGGAUGCUCUUCCUGCGUUUUCCCACAGCCAGGGAAAGGCAGGAGCUGGAGAGGAGAAGCCAAAGGUGAGACUGUUGCAAGCAGCUUUAGUCAGGGCUGUGCAGAACAUGACCUGCACUAAAAAGUUUUUUGCCAGCAAAUUACAUGUUUCUAUUUUUGUUUAAUUGCCUCUGUUUCCCUAAUUGCAUUUUAGAUGGGAGACCCCAAAAUCCUCAGCACAAGAGAAAGAGGUACAGAGAGAGAAUGGAGCAAGGCAGGUCCCAGAGCCCUGGUUGUGCUGCCUGGUGUGUCCCAGCAGUGUCAGCUGCCUUGGAGCAGCACCUCAGCUACUUCUCCUGCUCUCUGAAGACUUGUGUGAAAUGACCAAGAUACAAAGGGCCAGGGCUGCUCCUGGAAGAGGAAAAGCCUAUUGGUGUUGCCUGAAUGAAGGGGCUGAGUGUCUGCAUUCACAUCCUGGGAAAGCAGUUGAGAUUGAUCCUGGUUUGGUCACCCACUGAUGAGCUAAUUUUAACACCAACCAUGAACAUCUCACCGCUGGAAUUGCCGUGUGCCCGCUUGUGUGAGAGAGCAAAUCACUCCAGCAGUAGCGUGGAUCUUCUUCUGCACCCAUUGUUAUGGAAAUCGCCUUAGAGACUGUUGCUCCAGCAAACAUUUUUAGAAGCACCAGUGAGUUGCGCAACAGGAAAAGUGCUCGGAGGUGCACAUUCCUCACCGUUGAGUCUGCAAGGAGAAGCCUUGUAAUGCUCCCACACCUCCCAGCUUCUCCAGAGCAAGCCUGGGAGCCUGCUGGUUACAGGGAGGCUUGGGCAGCAGGUGCUUCCAGGUGUGCUGCCACCAGCCUGGCUGCAGUGCCUGAGCCAGGGCAGGCCACCCCUCUGCCUGGUGACAGCAGGAGGGGUAGAGGAGAGCAAGUCACUGCCCCAAAAGCUUCCAAACCCCCACAGGUUAGGGCAGCCCACCCACAGGGCAGUUCCACUGCUCAUCCUCCAUUUGUGCUCAAACACCGCCCUGAUUUUAAUUAA
rnacentral:lncRNA from 1 species